rnacentral:tRNA from 1 species
ACCGACAUGGCGCAACUGGGAGCGCAGAUCCCUUACAAGGAUAAGGUUGCAGGUUCAAGUCCUACUGUCGGUA